ACGAUUUGCCCAGCUUUCUAAGGAGGCGGAACUGGACAGAGCUCCUGGACCAGGCAAAUAGGAGCAAAGUUUUCGCGCGUGGGGCUAGAGAACGGCUUCGUGGCUAAGAAGAGUAUGCACUGCUCUUCUAGGGGACUUGAGUUUUAUUUCCAGCAACAACAUCAAGCUUCUCCCUGCUGUCUAGAACUCCUUUCUGAAACUUCUUAACUCACAGGUACAUGUACAGGACAUGAACACUAUUAAAAUU
rnacentral:lncRNA from 1 species